UCUUAUGGAUGAGCAAAGAAAGUGGUUUCUUGAGAUGGAAUCCACUCCUGGUGAAGAAGCUGUGAA
rnacentral:pre_miRNA from 1 species